rnacentral:tmRNA from 1 species
GGGCCCGUAAAGGUUUCGACGGGGAUUUUGCGGCAUGAUAAGCGUGGCGGGCUCGGAUAACCCCGUUAAAAUGUCCGACAAAAAAUAAACGCUAACGAUAAAAAAGUAGCUUUGGCUGCCUAACGGCAGUGCCGCGGCAUCAGCCGCCCGUAACCCUUGGAAGGCCUGCGAGCCAACGGUUGCGUCACAUCAGCAGGGAAGGUGCAUCGGUCGUUCGUCCUUGAGCCGGUCAUCCACAAAAGGGCUGCCGGGCGGAGGCGCGUGUCUGUUUGCGUCCCUCCCGGGAGAAUUGAUAACAGACUGUCCACGAAGAAAGUCAUGUCAACGGAUUUUCGGACAGGGGUUCGAUUCCCCUCGGGUCCACCA